GAUGAACGCUGGCGGCGUGCCUAAUACAUGCAAGUCGAGCGAACAGACGAGGAGCUUGCUCCUCUGACGUUAGCGGCGGACGGGUGAGUAACACGUGGAUAACCUACCUAUAAGACUGGGAUAACUUCGGGAAACCGGAUCUAAUACCGGAUAACAUGUUGAACCGCAUGGUUCAACAGUGAAAGACGGUUUUGCUGUCACGUAUAGAUGGAUCCGCGUCGCAUUAGCUAGUUGGUAAGGUAACGGCUUACCAAGGCAACGAUGCGUAGCCGACCUGAGAGGGUGAUCGGCCACACUGGAACUGAGACACGGUCCAGACUCCUACGGGAGGCAGCAGUAGGGAAUCUUCGGCAAUGGGCGAAAGCCUGACGGAGCAACGCCGCGUGAGUGAAGAAGGUCUUCGGAUCGUAAAGCUCUGUUAUUAGGGAAGAACAAAUGUGUAAGUAACUAUGCACGUCUUGACGGUACCUGAUCAGAAAGCCACGGCUAACUACGUG
rnacentral:rRNA from 1 species